GUGUGAGUGUGUGUGUGUGUGUGUGCUCUUGUAUUCGUGACAUAUCAGGACAUUUUUAUGAUAACACACCUUCACUAUGAGGAUUGGAUCUACAUUGGAUAUAGAAAAGUUCUGACAUGUUAUUGUUGUGUAUUGUUGCAGACACCAAACAUUGAGAUGCAGCCUGAGCCUUCAGAACAACCAGAGGACUCUGGGAACUCCACUGCAUCCUUCCAGCAGACACCAAACAUUGAGAUGCAGCCUGAGCCUUCAGAACAACCAGAGGACUCUGGGAACUCCACUGCAUCCUUCCAGCAGACACCAAACAUUGAGAUGCAGUCUGAGCCUUCAGAACAACCACAGGACUAUGGGAAAAUCUCAAACUCAAAAAACCUCAAGAAAAUCUCAAACUCAACUCAGGUCCAAGAACUGAGACUUGUAGGGCCUCGAGGCUUGCACUUGACUCAGACACCUUGGGCAAGAUUGACAGCAGUUCUACCUCGUCAUCUACCCUGGAUAACAUGGAUAUCAGUGGCACUCAACCAAGAAAUGGUAACAUAUAAAAAACCUCCAAAUGCAAACUGUAAUAAAUGUAGACAGAUGUUUAGUAGGUAAAGUAUAAAAUGCUUAAGCAAUGUCUUGUUGCUGUUAGGUUUUCAAACCACUGCAUUGUUUUUUAUCACAAGACAAGUUCAAAGGAAUGUUUCAUGGAAGAGGCCGAAAGUUACAAAUGUUGCCAUUAAACAUGUGUGAAAGGC
ensembl:lncRNA